GGCCUGAAGGAGGAGGGGCUGAAGGACACCCUGGAAGGGAGGCUUCCCUCUGGUGUUCGCUUGGUCCUCCUACCCACGAGAUUCACAGUACUAUCCUCCUCCGUCACCAGCUCACUCUUCUGCUCCCCGUGUCCCCAGAGCCACAACAGCCCUCCAGGCGCCAGCCAAGGGUUGGUCCUGGCUGCUGAGUAAAUCCCAAAAUAGAUGGAGCUUAGCGAGGAGGUGAUGGAGAAACCGGAAGACUCAGAUGUUCCCAAAGAAGCGCAGCCUCGAAUGGUCCAGACUUUGUGCUCUGGAUCCAGGAGCAGAUGAAGAAGACUGUGGCAGCUCUGAGAAUGGUCCAAGGGGUGCUGCCCAACAGGAAGCCUAGGACCUUGCUCAGAUUCCCCAGCUACCUACUUUGUUGCAAACUGGCGGUGGGAUCAUGUUUUCCAGGGAGGCAGACUAUAACCUCAUUAAAUCCCUGCCAUCAUCAUGUGCUUUGGGCUAAAUAAAGCCCAAUAUUUCAUCUUCUCAAGUGUUGGAACUAAAUAAAUGCCACUUAAAAGACACAUAUAAAGGGGAAGGGGGGCAUUCUUCUCUCCCUGAACUCGAUUUGUCUAGUCCUCUUGUAUUUAUGGUAUUAUUCUAUUUCUUUCUCUCCCCUUCUGAAUACACCUGACUUUUAAAAAAUAUUAAGAACGGCCUAAUGAAAGGGAGAAAUGCAUCCUGCUUCCUUUAGCAGACUCUGGCUGACUGCAAAGAGUGUGCACAACACUGCACCAGGUGCCGGGGCUCAUGUGGUGGUGAAUCCAGCCCUCCAGGAACAUUCUGUCUGCCAAGGAAAUAGAGGGCACCUCAAGUAUCAGUGCUCCAACCUAGAAUGCUCUUCUGGCUAUCCAGAAAACAGGACAGCUUACUGCAAGUGUCGACAGAGGAGUAAAACACUGAAUCAUGGAAAAGAGAAAACUGCUUCCCACUCAAAGCCGAGAAGGCCCUUUGCCUGUGGAGGGUCCCUUGGGAGGCCCCACGGCAGCCAGCCGUGUUCCAGCCCCAAGAGUGGAGGGAUUCAAACGUAGCAGCAUCUUACAAGGUUCACGACGGGCCCAGGCGGCCAGACAACCCAGCGUCUCUUCCGGUGGAGACCAGAGCACAGACUUCCCCCGGGGCCCCGCCCACAGCCGCUGCGCGCGCACCUGCAUGCAACUACCCAGCAUGCCCUAUUCUCGGGCACGGUCCUGGUGUACUUUUAACUCAGUGGGAAAAAACUCGUUUCAAAGUGUGGAGUCACAAAAUUCACAAUAAUACAACCAGGCAGACCCUGAAGUUGCGUGUCUGCUCCCAUCUCAUCGAUUCCCCACUCCCUCCCAAAGGAAACCAGUUUUAUUAGUUUUUGAUGUAUUCUUCCAAUCCCU